UCACUAAGAAAAGGUUGGCUUUGGGUGUCGAUAAGAUUUAGUGAG
rnacentral:tRNA from 1 species